GCCAGAUUUUAAAAUUUUCUUGGGGGUACCCUUACAUCAAGCUCCGAACGAGAAUCAAAACAUCACUUCUGUUACUGCUUUUAUCAAACGGUUCUAUCCAGAUCUGUCCAGAUAGUCUCUUUAUUACUUCUUCAUCUUCUUGUUGUUAUCAUGUAUUCCUUUCUUUGCAAUCUCUGAUAGUCUUUACAAGCAGGUUAGGAACAAACAACAUCUGCGUGGGUUUUGCACACUCCAAAAGUCAUAUCUCAUAAGGACAGCCGCCAUUCCUCCCCUUCUUCAAAGAUUUAUCCUCGGUCCGUCCUAUUAAUUUUCCCAAGCUUGCCACGUAUAUCACAAAGGGGCUCUGCCAGGUUAUCACAUUCAAUCCAUCAUUUACAUUCCAAUACCCUGGUCCUCCCCUCGUCUUUCUUCGACAAGUCUGUCUUAGCAAGACGCCAUUAAAAACUGCUUCAUAGAAUUUUUCCUCCGCACUCCAUAUUUACCAGUCCUCUCUUCAAUCAAUAAUUCACUCCACACAGCUCUUAAAUUCUUGCUUGCGAUUAGUAAAAGGGGACGAUUCGUCUCUCUGGGGUGGAGGUUUAUAAAUACUCACAUGAGACAAAGAAAAUAAAAGUUUUUUCCUCCACCCUCCCUCUUUUUUCGCUCCGCACAUACCAGUCUCAUAAUGGUGGUUCAUCGCUUGAUUUAUUUGUCUCCUCUCGUCGCUCCAAACACAGAGAUGCAUUAAUCAGCAGCCUUAUCUCUCGAACUUUGCUUGAUGUAAGUGCUUCAGCUUCAUUCCAAUUAUAUAUUUCCAAUUAUAUUUUCGAGCUGAAGCGAACCAGGGCGCUGAUUGGAGACAGCGUCAGGAAGCGCCGAACCCACCGAGGGCUGAUGCCAAAUGUCCUGCACCCCCUUCGACCUUUAGAAGACAUCUGAAGGCAGCCCUGUUUAGGGAAGCUUUUAAUGUUUAACAGACUAUUGUAUUUUAAUAUUUUGUUGGAGGCAAAUUGAUGCACAUGAGCUUUUCUCUGAUCUGUUGAUGCUGAUAGUGUGUUGUUUUGUAUACAUUUCAAUACUUAUUCAAUUUUUGAAAGCUGACUUAGUUCUGUGAAUUUUUGAAUAAUUAUUUAUAUAAUUGAUACCCUGUGUUUCCACUCCAAUGUCUUCAGGAUAGCUUGGAAUUCAAAAGUAGAGUGAUGCCAAAUAAAAUCCACAAAAAUUCAAGUGAAUGGUCUAAAAUUAGGCGCAGGACAAUAACAAAUUCAGUGGCAGCAAAACAAGCAGCCAAGAAACGGCCGAGCAAGAGCUGCUUUAUACCAAAUCAGAGCAUUGCCCCAUCUGGUUCAGUAUUGUGGACACUCUGGAGGCAGCAUCUCUCCAGGGUUUUGGACAAGCAUUUCCCCCAGCCCUUCCUGGUGUAGGGAAGUGAGAGAAUGCCAAUGAGAAUGGAAAAGGAAGUGGACAUUGCCGCAGUUUAUGUGUUUAUCUGUGGUCAGGAAUGGCAAGCGUCAACCGCAUUGCAGGGGGCUGGACUAGAUGACCCUUGGGGUGCCUUCCAACUCUACAAUUCUGUGAUUCUAUGAAUGUGAUCAACAUUCAUUUACAUUGUCAUUGCUCUUCUGAUGUUUGCAAAUGUAAUGGAAGACUUUUUUUUUACAUUGCUUUGAUGUUUCCUUUGCAUUGAAAUGCAUGUAAGGAACGUAAGUUAUGUAAAUAGUUAUGUACGCUAUGAACUAUAAUGUAGUAUUUGGCAGAAACAAAUGGCAGCAAAAUGGAAACAGCUCUAAUUGUGAUGAAUACAGAACAGGGCAGAAAUUGCUGCCUUCUCACAUGUCUAACCUGGAGACUGAACCUCGAUUUAACUAUGACUAAACCAAUGAUUGGCUCCGAACCACUGAUUGAACUGAACCUGGAACCUUCUGAGUGCAAAGCAGAUGCUCUGCCUCUGAGCUAUGACCUCGUGGAGGCAAAGGAAAUUAUCUUCCAUUGCAUCAGACCAUUGGCCCAUCUAACAGAAUUUUAUACAUUGACUGCAAUGGUUCUCCAGGAUUUCAGGCAGCAGGGUGUGUGUGUGGGGGGGACGACUGGUCUUUCCCAGUUAUAGCUGGAGAUACUGUGGAUUGAACCAGGAAUCUUCUGCAUGCAAAGAAGGUGCUCUACUGCUGAUGUGAUACACCAAAAGCUCAAGAGAAUAAGAAUGGUUUUAACUUGAUGCUUAAUGAGCAUAAGGGCAGGCGCUAGCUAAGUGUCUUCAAGCAAGGUGUUCCAUUGAGGUACCACAGGGCAGGUCCUAUCUCAGAUGGCCACCCUGAGCAGAUCCUCAGGUGAAAAUCUGAGGUAUCUAGAUACAGAGUUGGAAGGAACCUCACCUCAGAUGUCAUCUAGUGCAGGAAAUCGUCUUCUACAGCACCCCAGAUAAGUUGCCACCCACCCUUUGUAUCAAGUAAAGCAAAGUCUGCCACCUUUCAAUGCUAUCUGUUCCACUGCUGCCCAACAGCUCAUCCCACCAGUUUCUUCUUCCUGAUCUCUGCCUUGUUCAGCAGUCACAGUGGGCAAAGGCAGUCAGCAGUCAGAUGGAGGACCAAGAGAAUGUAGACUAGUUUAAGCCACAGGUUAAAGCACACCUAUGGGGUCUAUGGGACGUGGGUGGCGCUGUGGUCUAAACCACAGAGCCUAGGGCUUGCCGAUCAGAAGGUUGGCGGUUCGAAUUCCUGUGACAGGGUGAACUCCUGUUGCUCAGUCCCUGCUCCUGCCCACCUAGCAGUUCGAAAGCACAUCAAAGUGCAAGUAGAUAAAUAGGUACCGCUCCAGCGGGAAGGUAAACGGCAUUUCCAUGCGCUGCUCUGGUUUGCCAGAAG